GAUGAAGAACGUAGCGAAAUGCGAUAAGUAAUGUGAAUUGCAGAAUUCAGUGAAUCAUCGAAUCUUUGAACGCACAUUGCGCCCGCCAGUAUUCUGGCGGGCAUGCCUGUCCGAGCGUCAUUUCAACCAUCAAGCCCCGGGCUUGUGUUGGGGACCUGCGUCCGACGCAGGCCCCGAAAACCAGUGGCGGGCUCGCUGUCCACACCGAGCGUAGUAGCUAACCUCGCUCCGGAGUGGCGCGGGCGCCUGCCGUAAAACCCCCCAAUUUUACAAGGUUGACCUCGGAUCAGGUAGGAAUACCCGCUGAACUUAAGCAUAUCAAUAAGCGGGAGGA
rnacentral:misc_RNA from 1 species